rnacentral:rRNA from 1 species
CAGCAGCCGCGGAACACAGAGGGUGCGAGCGUUAAUCGGAUUUACUGGGCGUAAAGCGUGCGUAGGCGGCUUUUUAAGUCGGAUGUGAAAUCCCUGAGCUUAACUUAGGAAUUGCAUUCGAUACUGGGAAGCUAGAGUAUGGGAGAGGAUGGUAGAAUUCCAGGUGUAGCGGUGAAAUGCGUAGAGAUCUGGAGGAAUACCGAUGGCGAAGGCAGCCAUCUGGCCUAAUACUGACGCUGAGGUACGAAAGCAUGGGGAGCAAACAGGAUUAGAGACCCCCGUAGUCCCUGUCUCUUAUACA